rnacentral:tRNA from 1 species
GGUAUGGCCAAGCGGUAAGGCGUCAGACUCUGACUCUGAUUAUCGUAGGUUCGAAUCCUACUACC